CCUACGGGUGGCAGCAGUGGGGAAUAUUGGGCAAUGGGCGCAAGCCUGACCCAGCAACGCCGCGUGAAGGAAGAAGGCCCUCGGGUUGUAAACUUCUUUUAUCAAGGACGAAACAAAUGACGGUACUUGAUGAAUAAGCCUCGGCUAACUACGUGCAAGCAGCCGCGGUAAUACGUAGGUGGCAAGCGUUAUGCGGAUUUACUGGGUGUAAGGGGCGUGUAGGCGGGACUGCAAGGCAGAUGUGAAAACCAUGGGCUUAACCCAUGGCCUGCAUUUGAAACUGUAGUCCUUGAGUGUUGGAGAGGCAGGCGGAAGUCGGGGUGUAGCGGUGAAAUGCAUAGAUAGACGGAAGAACACCAGUGGCGAAGGCGGCCUGCUGGACAAUAACUGACGCUGAGGCGCGAAAGCGUGGGGAGCAAACAGGAUUAGAUACCCGGGUAGUC
rnacentral:rRNA from 1 species